GAUGAACGCUAGCGGCAGGCCUAAUACAUGCAAGUCGAACGGUAGUGGUAGCAAUAUCAUGAGAGUGGCGCACGGGUGAGUAACGCGUAUGCAACCUGGCCUUCAGCGAGGGAUAGCCUGGAGAAAUCCAGAUUAAUACCUCAUAUUAUUUAGGAAUCACCUGAUUUUUAAAUGAAAGGUAUUUAUUCACUGAAGGAUGGGCAUGCGUGACANAGCUAGUUGGUAAGGUAACGGCUUACCAAGGCGACGAUGUCUAACUGGUCUGAGAGGAUGAUCAGUCACACUGGCACU
rnacentral:rRNA from 1 species